CACGUAGGGCGCAAGCGUUGUCCGGAAUUAUUGGGCGUAAAGAGCUCGUAGGUGGUUUGUCACGUCGGAUGUGAAAACCCGGGGCUUAACCCCGGGCCUGCAUUCGAUACGGGCUGACUAGAGUUCGGCAGGGGAGACUGGAAUUCCUGGUGUAGCGGUGAAAUGACGCAGAUAUCAGGAGGAACACCGGUGGCGAAGGCGGGUCUCUGGGCCGAUACUGACGCUGGAGGAGCGAAAGCGUGGGGAGCGAACAGG
rnacentral:rRNA from 1 species